UGGGGAAUAUUGCACAAUGGGGGAAACCCUGAUGCAGCGACGCCGCGUGAACGAAGAAGGUAUUCGUAUCGUAAAGUUCUGUCCUAUGGGAAGAUAAUGACAGUACCAUAGAAGAAAGCUCCGGCUAAAUACGUGCCAGCAGCCGCGGUAAUACGUAUGGAGCGAGCGUUGUCCGGAAUUAUUGGGCGUAAAGGGUACGCAGGCGGUUUAAUAAGUCGAAUGUUAAAGAUCGGGGCUCAACCCCGUAAAACAUUGGAAACUGAUAAACUUGAGUAGUGGAGAGGAAAGUGGAAUUCCUAGUGUAGUGGUGAAAUACGUAGAUAUUAGGAGGAAUACCAGUAGCGAAGGCGACUUUCUGGACACAAACUGACGCUGAGGUACGAAAGCGUGGGGAGCAAACAGG
rnacentral:rRNA from 1 species